UCAGUAGUAUAUUCAUUGCUGUAUGCUUGACGAUUUUCAUUCACUCGUCUGUGUAUUCAUAGUGUUGUAAUAGUAAUUCCAAGUGUAUCACUCUGAUUCACAGUUUAUCUGUAAAUGAAAACGUUUUGUAGGCUAACAUACCUGACUGAUGCAAUGGUGGCAAUUUUUUUUUUUUAUAACAUAGCCUAAAUGUUUCAACCUAGGUAGCCUUCAACACAGGCAAGAAUCCUUCAUGUAUGUAACUGGUAUAAUCAGUGCAUUGAUAAUGACACAGAAUAACUUUUUGCUGUCAAUAGAAGUGCAAAAGGUUAGGUUUGAUACUGUUUAGGAUUUUAUAUAUACACUACAUACACUACCGUUCAAAAGUUUGGGGUCACUUAGAAAUGUCCUUGUUUUUGAAAGAAAAGCGCAUCUUUUGUCCAUUAAAAUAAAUAACAUCAACUUGAUCAGAAAUAUAGUGUAGACAUUGUUCAUGUUGUAAAUUACUAUUGUAGCUGGAAACUGUGUUUUUUUAAAUGGAAUGUCUACAUAGGCGCACAGAGGCCCAUUAUCAGCAACCAUCACUCCUGUGUUCCAAUGGCACAUUAUGUUAGCUAAUCCAAGUUGAUCAUUUUAAAAGGGUAAUUGAUCAUUUGAAAACCCUUUUGCAAUUAUGUUAGCACAGCUGAAAACUGUUGUAUGAUUAAAGAACCAAUAAAACUGGCCUUCUUUAGACUAGUUGAGUAUCUGGAGCAUCAGCAUUUGUGGGUUCGAUUACAGGCUCAAAUUGGCUAGAAACAAAGCACUUUCUUUUGAAACUCAUCAGUCUAUUCUUGAUCUGAGAAAUGAAGGCUAUUCCAUGUGAGAAAUUGCCAAGAAACUGAAGAUCUCGUACUACUCCCUUCACAGAACAGCGCAAACUGGCCCUAACCAGAAUAGAAAGAGGAGUGGGAGGCCCCGGUGCACAACUGAGUAAGAGGACAAGUACAUUAGAGUUUCUAGUUUGAGAAACAGAUGCCUCACAAGUCCUCAACUGGCAGCUUCAUUAAAUAGUACCCGCAAAACACCAGUCUCAACGUCAACAAUGGAGGCGACUCCGAGAUGCUGGCUUUCUAGGCAGAGUUGAAAAGACAGAGCCAUAUCUUAGACUGGCCAAUAAAAAUAAAAGAUUAAGAUGCGCAAAAGAACACAGACACUGGACAGAGGAACUGUGCCUAGAAAAUGUGCUUUUCUUUCAAAAACAAGAACAUUUCUAAGCUGACCCCAAACUUUUGAACGGUAGUGGAUAUAUGGUAAUACUUGAGCAAUGAACCAUAUUGCUGUAUUUGAAUAGUUGUAACUACAAUGAUAAGACAAAGCAUUAAUGACACAAAUCUCCUCGAGGACUGUAACAAUGUACAACAGAGGCCUACUUCUCACAGGGUCCUUUCCAAGUGUCACAAGUUUCCCACACAGCUAGAAACCUUGCCUGAGAUGCGCUGAUGAAUUUCAGUCAUUGUUUCUGGUAGUGUGUGUAGCAGGUAUGUCAACAGGUGUCAAUGCCUCUGGUUAAGUCGUGAGAAAGAAUAUUUGAAUAACCUGAGAAGAGUUUGCCUGAUAUUGGGAAGGAUUCUAGUCACAGAAAAAGCCUUAAAAACUUCUAACAUGAUCGAAGGAGAUCCUCCACUGAAAGUGCUUCUUAGUCCAGGACGAGGCUUAAUCUGUCCACUCAUACGUAUGGUUACAGGCAGGGGGCAGUGAUGUGUCUCAAAGGAGAAUAGAACCAUUGUAUGACGUCGUGUACUGUGGGCAGUUUCAGUGGUGUUGCCACAUCCAAGCGAACCAUGACAAUGUCAGGUAUGUUGGUAAACCAGCUCUACUGAAGCACCAAACCCUCCUUUCUACUUUAAUUCACAGGGAAGAGUUAGACGAAAUGGGACAUUGUACUUUCCCUGAUGACUGCAACCCAUCAUGACUCACUUUCAUCUUUUUUUAUUCUCUCCUUUUGCAGGAGACAUGUUUGUGCUGCAGGUAAAACCAGGGCAUCACCAGAAUGAUGUUAUACCUGUAUACAUGUUCUCUCUCUACAGGUAAAACCAGGGCAUCACCAGAAUGAUGUUAUACCUGUAUACAUGUUCUCUCUCUACAGGUAAAACCAGGGCAUCACCAGAAUGAUGUUAUACCUGUAUACAUGUUCUCUCUCUACAGGUAAAACCAGGGCAUCACCAGAAUGAUGUUAUACCUGUAUACAUGUUCUCUCUCUACAGGUAAAACCAGGGCAUCACCAGAAUGAUGUUAUACCUGUAUACAUGUUCUCUCUCUACAGGUAAAACCAGGGCAUCACCAGAAUGAUGUUAUACCUGUAUACAUGUUCUCUCUCUACAGGUAAAACCAGGGCAUCACCAGAAUGAUGUUAUACCUGUAUACAUGUUCUCUCUCUACAGGUAAAACCAGGGCAUCACCAGAAUGAUGUUAUACCUGUAUACAUGUUCUCUCUCUACAGGUAAAACCAGGGCAUCACCAGAAUGAUGUUAUACCUGUAUACAUGUUCUCUCUCUACAGGUAAAACCAGGGCAUCACCAGAAUGAUGUUAUACCUGUAUACAUGUUCUCUCUCUACAGGUAAAACCAGGGCAUCACCAGAAUGAUGUUAUACCUGUAUACAUGUUCUCUCUCUACAGGUAAAACCAGGGCAUCACCAGAAUGAUGUUAUACCUGUAUACAUGUUCUCUCUCUACAGGUAAAACCAGGGCAUCACCAGAAUGAUGUUAUACCUGUAUACAUGUUCUCUCUACAGGUAAAACCAGGGCAUCACCAGAAUGAUGUUAUACCUGUAUACAUGUUCUCUCUCUACAGGUAAAACCAGGGCAUCACCAGAAUGAUGUUAUACCUGUAUACAUGUUCUCUCUCUACAGGUAAAACCAGGGCAUCACCAGAAUGAUGUUAUACCUGUAUACAUGUUCUCUCUCUACAGGUAAAACCAGGGCAUCACCAGAAUGAUGUUAUACCUGUAUACAUAUUCUCUCUCUACAGGUAAAACCAGGGCAUCACCAGAAUGAUGUUAUACCUGUAUACAUGCUCUCUCUCUACAGGUAAAACCAGGGCAUCACCAGAAUUAUGUUAUUCCUGUAUACAUGUUCUCUCUACAGGUAAAACCAGGGCAUCACCAGAAUUAUGUUAUUCCUGUAUACAUGUUCUCUCUACAGGUAAAACCAGGGCAUCACCAGAAUGAUGUUAUACCUGUAUACAGGUAAGUGGGAAUACCCAGACCAACCUUUUUCCCUGACAAGAGGAACCUUAAAGAUGGAAUGCAGCAUAAAGUUCUCAGUGUAACAUUAUAACAUUACUUGAAGAAAUGUAUAAGUUCUUGAAAUUGUCCGGAUUGACUGACCUUCAUGUCUUAAAGUAAUGACUUUUAAUUGACUAAAAGACAUCUAGUAAGUUGAACUGAGUUAAAAAGCCUUAUUGUUUUAGGUUAGUUAUCAUUGUUUUAGUUCACAAUGGAGCCCCUAGUUCCACUCUUCAUACCCCUGAUAACUCCUUUGUCCCACCUCCCACACAUGCGGUGACCUCACCCAUUACAACCAGCAUGUCCAGAGAUACAACCUCUCUCAUCAUCACCCGGGGCCUGGGCUUACCUCCGCUGUACCCGCACCCCACCAUACCCCUGUCUGCGCAUUAUGCCCUGAAUAUAUUCUACCAUGCCCAGAAACCUGCUCCUCUUAUUCUCUGUCCCCAACGCUCUAGGCGACCAGUUUUGAUAGCCUUUAGCCGCACCCUCAUACUACUCCUUCUCUGUUCCGCGGGUGAUGUGGAGGUAAACCCAGGCCCUGCAUGUCCCCAGGCACCCUCAUUUGUUGACUUCUGUGAUCGAAAAAGCCUUGGUUUCAUGCAUGUCAACAUCAGAAGCC